rnacentral:rRNA from 1 species
UACGUAGGGGGCAAGCGUUGUCCGGAAUCAUUGGGCGUAAAGCGCGCGUAGGCGGCCCGGUAAGUCCGUUGUGAAAGUCAAAGGCUCAACCUUUGAACGCCGAUGGAUACUGCCGGGCUAGAGUCCGGAAGAGGCGAGUUGAAUUCCUGGUGUAGCGGUGGAAUGCGCAGAUAUCAGGAGGAACACCAAUAGCGAAGGCAGCUCGCUGGGACGGUACUGACGCUGAGGCGCGAAAGCGUGGGGAGCGAACAGG